rnacentral:rRNA from 1 species
UACGUAGGGCGCAAGCGUUAUCCGGAAUUAUUAGGCGUAAAGAGCUCGUAGGCGGUUUGUCGCGUCUGCCGUGAAAGUCCGGGGCUCAACUCCGGAUCUGCGGUGGGUACGGGCAGACUAGAGUGAUGUAGGGGAGACUGGAAUUCCUGGUGUAGCGGUGAAAUGCGCAGAUAUCAGGAGGAACACCGAUGGCGAAGGCAGGUCUCUGGGCAUUAACUGACGCUGAGGAGCGAAAGCAUGGGGAGCGAACAGG